rnacentral:rRNA from 1 species
UACGUAGGGGGCAAGCGUUGUCCGGAUUUAUUGGGCGUAAAGAGCGUGUAGGCGGCUUCACAGGUCCGCCGUGAAAACUCGAGGCUCAACCUCGAGCUGUCGGUGGAAACCGUGUGGCUAGAGUCCGGAAGAGGAGAGUGGAAUUCCCGGUGUAGCGGUGAAAUGCGCAGAUAUCGGGAAGAACACCCGUGGCGAAGGCGGCUCUCUGGGACGGUACUGACGCGUGAGACGGCGAAAGCGUGGGGAGCCGAACAGG